rnacentral:rRNA from 1 species
AACGCGAAGAACCUUACCAAGCCUUGACAUCUGGCUGGCCGGUGAGUAAUGUCACCUUUCCUACGGGACAGCCAAGACAGGUGGUGCAUGGUUGUCGUCAGCUCGUGUCGUGAGAUGUUGGGUUAAGUCCCGCAACGAGCGCAACCCUUAUCCUUAGUAGCCAGCAUGUAAUGGUGGGCACUCUAGGGAGACUGCCAGGGACAACCUGGAGGAAGGUGGGGAUGACGUCAAAUCAUCAUGCCCCUUAUGGCUUGGGCUACACACGUGCUACAAUGGCGUAAACAAAGGGAAGCGAAGGGGUGACCUGGAGCAAAUCCCAAAAAUAACGUCCCAGUUCGGAUUGUAGUCUGCAACCCGACUACAUGAAGCCGGAAUCGCUAGUAAUCGCGGAUCAGCAUGCCGCGGUGAAUACGUUCCCGGGUCUUGUACACACCG